GAUGAACGCUGGCGGCGUGCCUAAUACAUGCAAGUCGAGCGAACGGACGAGAAGCUUGCUUCUCUGAUGUUAGCGGCGGACGGGUGAGUAACACGUGGAUAACCUACCUAUAAGACUGGGAUAACUUCGGGAAACCGGAGCUAAUACCGGAUAAUAUUUUGAACCGCAUGGUUCAAAAGUGAAAGACGGUCUUGCUGUCACUUAUAGAUGGAUCCGCGCUGCAUUAGCUAGUUGGUAAGGUAACGGCUUACCAAGGCAACGAUGCAUAGCCGACCUGAGAGGGUGAUCGGCCACACGAGAACUGAGACACGGUCCAGACGCCUAAGGGAGGCAGCAGUAGGGAAUCUUCCGCAAUGGGCGAAAGCCUGACGGAGCAACGCCGAGUGAGUGAUGAAGGUCUUCGGAUCGUAAAACUCUGUUAUUAGGGAAGAACAGAUGUGUAAGUAACUGUGCACAUCUUGACGGUACCUAAUCAGAAAGCCACGGCUAACUACGUG
rnacentral:rRNA from 1 species